AGCCAGACUCCUACGGGAGGCAGCAGUGGGGAAUAUUGCACAAUGGGGGAAACCCUGAUGCAGCGACGCCGCGUGAAGGAAGAAGUAUUUCGGUAUGUAAACUUCUAUCAGCAGGGAAGAAAAUGACGGUACCUGACUAAGAAGCCCCGGCUAACUACGUGCCAGCAGCCGCGGUAAUACGUAGGGGGCAAGCGUUAUCCGGAUUUAUUGGGUUUAAAGGGUGCGCAGGCGGCCGGUGAAGUCAGCGGUAAACGCCCGGGGCUCACCCCCGGCGAGCCGUUGAAACUGGCGGGCUGGAGUUGGAGAGAAGUACGCGGAAUGCGCGGUGUAGCGGUGAAAUGCUUAGAUAUCGCGCAGAACCCCGAUUGCGAAGGCAGCGUACCGGCUCCACACUGACGCUGAGGCACGAAAGCGUGGGUAUCGAACAGGAUUAGAUACCCCCGUAAA
rnacentral:rRNA from 1 species